AAAUGCUACAAUUGUCAAUUAUGACAAAAAAAUUCAAAAUGAAUUAGCAGUAUUUAUUAAUGUAAGAAUUAAUUACAUUACAUAUACAAUUAUUUUGAAAAUAUCUUAUCAAAUUUAUCUAUAGCAAUAUUUGUCGUGUAGAGCUACUAUGCUAUCGGAAGUAUAAAGUAGUUGGUGCUUCCGAUUUUUUAGCCAUUGAAUCAAAGAUUCUACGGUUGGGAUGACAGCGGUCCCCUUAGGGUUGAGUGGUCCCCCUAGGGUUGAGUGGUCCGCAUUGGUUAAUAAUAUUAAUCCAAUAGUUAGAAAUGAUCAAUGAGUUGAUCUAAAAACUAAAAAAUCAAAAGCACCAACCAAUUUAUGCUUCCGAUAGUAUAGUAGCUCUACUCAUAUUUAUCAAGUGUUGCUACCAUUCAGUAUCAGCAACAAUUUUCUAUAUGCUGCUAAAUGAUUUAGCAACACGGGCAUAGACAACAUUAAUCUUUAAAUGUUGUUAAAAGAUCUAGAUAUAUUUCUUAUUCAUAUAACAAUAUUUAUAUAUGCGACUAAUUAUUAAUUUUUUUGUAUGAGUUCUGUCGGGAUCUCGGCAUCAAAGUUAAUAUUCCUGAGUUCGAAAAAAGGAUGCAACAUAAUGAGUUCACUGAUUGGCUUCACACUGUAGAGUGGAUAUUUGAAUAUGAAGAGGUUUCAUCGUGAGACUUUCGACAUCAUUAACGUUCAACAUUAUUGGGCAUACAAUAAUGUCUACAAGUUUGCGAUUAAGGCAAAGAGGCAACUCAAGGCAAAGGAAGAGCGUUGCCUAUAAAAUGCCAGUGGUACUUGAUCCAUAGGCCGUGAGAACACUUCUAAUCGGGAGAGUUCUUCUGAAGCUUCUAAGGCCGUAUCCCAAAAAUCUUCACAAAAACAAGAGAUGGUGGCUGCUUCCAGUCAUCCUAGUUUUUCUAACUCCAACCCACGGCGAUGCUACAAAUGUCAAGACCUCGGACACAUUGCCUCUGAAUAUCCAAAUAAAAGAAUUGUUACUCUCUUGGAGGAGACAUCUAAUGAAAAUGAAUGUCUUGAAACUACAUCACUCGUGUAUAAUAAAGAGGUUGAAAAGAAAGAUGAAGUCACUUAUGGCAAUGGAGGUGAGGCUCUUGUCAUACAGCAAGCCUUAAGCACUACAUCCGUCAAGAAUGAUGAUUGGCUUUGCAACAAUAUUUUUCACAUGGUGCACUUUUCAUGGCAAAAUAUCUAAUGUUAUUAUAGAUGGAGAUAGUUGUGAAAAUGUGGUUUCUAUUACUAUGAUAGAAAAACUACAACUUCAUGUAGAGAAACAUCCCCAACCAUAUAAGCUCUCUUGGCUUAAGAAAGAAAGUGAUGUGAAAGUGGAGAAAAUAUGCUUGAUUUACUUCUCUAUUGGAAAAAAUUAUAAAGAUGAGGUGUGAUGUGAUGUCAUCUCUAUGGAUGCAUGUCACUUACUUUUUGGA